CCACAACCUUCAACAGGAAAAAUGAGCUGGGUUUGGAUGCUUCUCCAGUAAUGAAGAACCCUCCCAAGCUGGAGGGUGAUGCUACUGAUGGCUCCUUUGCCAAUAAGCAUGGCCGCCAUGUCAUUGGCCACGUUGAUGACUAUAGUGCCCUAAGACAGCAGAUUGAAGAGGGCAGACUGCUGGUCAAGAAGGUAGCAUCCCUCGUGAGAUCAACCUGCAACUUCCUUGGCCUUGAAGCUCUAGGCACAGAGGUGAUGGGCAGUGAAGCCAUCCAUGAGCUCAGGAG